rnacentral:rRNA from 1 species
CCUACGGGAGGCUGCAGUGGGGAAUAUUGCACAAUGGGCGAAAGCCUGAUGCAGCAACGCCGCGUGAGCGAUGAAGGCCUUCGGGUCGUAAAGCUCUGUCCGCAAGGAAGAGAAUGACGGUACGUGAGGAGGAAGCACCGGCUAACUACGUGCCAGCAGCCGCGGUAAUACGUAGGGGGCUAGCGUUAUCCGGAAUUACUGGGCGUAAAGGGUGCGUAGGUGGUUUCGGAAGUCAGAGGUCAAAGGCUACGGCUCAACCGUAGGAAGCCUUUGAAACUGGGACACUUGAGUGCAGGAGAGGUGAGUGGCAUUCCUAGUGUAGCGGUGAACUGCGUCGAUAUUAGG